rnacentral:rRNA from 1 species
AACGAACGCUGGCGGCAUGCCUAACACAUGCAAGUCGAACGAGACCUUCGGGUCUAGUGGCGCACGGGUUCGUAACGCGUGGGAACCUGCCCUUAGGGUCGGAAUAACUCCCCGAAAGGGGUGCCAAUACCGGAUAAUAUCUUCGGACCAAUGAUUUAUCGCCUUGGGUUGGUCCCGCGUUGGAUUAGCUAGUUGGUAGGGUAAAAGCCUACCAAGGCGAAGAUCCAUAGCUGGUCUGAGAGGAUGAUCAGCCACACUGGGACGGAGACACGGCCCAGACUCUUACGGGAGGCAGCAGUGGGGAAGAUUGGACGAUGGGCGAAAGCCUGAUCCAGCAGUGCCGCGUGAGUGAUGAAGGCGUUAGGGUUGUAAAGCUCUUUUACCCGGGAUGAUAAUGACAGUACCGGGAGAAUAAGCUCGGGCUAACUCCGU